AACACAACCGAUUGUAAAUGACAACAGCACUUUUACCAAUUGGACUUCAGAAGUGAAAGGAAACGCGACUAUUGAAGCCAGCUGUUACUCUGGUUACAAACUGUCUGGUGAAUCAACAAUGACAUGUUUGCCGAACGAAACGUGGUCAGCACCGCCGACAUGCGAUAUUUUACACUGUAAAACACAACCGAUUGUAAAUGACAACAGCACUUUUACCAAUUGGACUUCAGAAGUGAAAGGAAACGCGACUAUUGAAGCCAGCUGUUACUCUGGUUACAAACUGUCUGGUGAAUCAACAAUGACAUGUUUGCCGAACGAAACGUGGUCAGCACCGCCGACAUGCGAUAUUUUACACUGUAAAACACAACCGAUUGUAAAUGACAACAGCACUUUUACCAAUUGGACUUCAGAAGUGAAAGGAAACGCGACUAUUGAAGCCAGCUGUUACUCUGGUUACAAACUGUCUGGUGAAUCAACAAUGACAUGUUUGCCGAACGAAACGUGGUCAGCACCGCCG